rnacentral:rRNA from 1 species
AUUGAACGCUGGCGGCAGGCCUAACACAUGCAAGUCGAACGGUAACAGGAAGAAGCUUGCUUCUUUGCUGACGAGUGGCGGACGGGUGAGUAAUGUCUGGGAAACUGCCUGAUGGAGGGGGAUAACUACUGGAAACGGUAGCUAAUACCGCAUAACGUCGCAAGCCCAAAAAGGGGGACAUUCGGGCCUCUUGCCAUCGGAUGCGCCCAGAUGGGAUUGGCUAGUAGGUGGGGUAACGGGUCACCUAGGCGACGAGUCGUAGCUGGUCGGAGAGGAUGAGCGGCCACACUGGAACUGAGACACGGUCCAGACUCCUACGGGAGGCAGCAGUGGGGAAUAUUGCACAAUGGGCGCAAGCCUGAUGCAGCCAUGCCGCGUGUAUGAAGAAGGCCUUCGGGUUGUAAAGUACUUUCAGCGGGGAGGAAGGGAGUAAAGUUAAUACCUAUGCUCAUUGACGUUACCCGCAGAAGAAGCACCGGCUAACUACGUG